rnacentral:sRNA from 1 species
UACUUAGAAACGAAGUAAACAACUGAGGC